GACGAACCGAGCGAACGUUGUUCGGAAUCACUGGGCUUAAAGGGCGCGUAGGCGGCCUUGUAAGUCAAAGGUGAAAUCCCUCGGCUCAACUGAGGAACUGCCUUUGAAACUGCAAGGCUUGAGGCCGGGAGGGGGUAGCGGAAUUCCCAAUGUAGCGGUGAAAUGCGUAGAUAUUGGGAGGAACACCAGUGGCGAAGGCGGCUACCUGGACCGGUUCUGACGCUGAGGCGCGAAAGCGUGGGUAGCAAACAGG
rnacentral:rRNA from 1 species